rnacentral:piRNA from 1 species
GCGGCCUUGGGAGCGGAGCUGAGCG